AGUGACGUUUCGAGUUGGGGUCCCGGAUGGAAUUGCUCGCUCCCUGAGGCACCGUCGCUGGGCCGGCCGCAUCCACGUUCCUCUGUUGCCCUCUCAUCUCCUCUGGCCUGAGGCUCUGAGUUCUACUCUCCUUUUCUCCCCCAGCUGUGCUCUGACCACUUUUACAAGAUGAGCACCACCAGUGUGGAUGAUGCUAAACCAGAUGUUAAACAAGAAUCUGAGAAAAAGAUAUUUUAUUGCGAGGUUUGUAAAGUUCCAUGUAUGAGUUCUAUAAGCCUUCAGUCACACUUCCGUGGAGCAAAACAUAAAAAGGUUUAGAACAUGUGGUUGAAAUCAGAUUUGAAGGGAGGAGAGAGCCACAUUAUGAAUGCAAAC
rnacentral:lncRNA from 1 species